AGGACAACGCUGGCGGCGUGCCUAACACAUGCAAGUCGAACGGAGAUAUUGAUGAAGCUUGCGAUUUAAUAUCUUAGUGGCGGACGGGUGAGUAACGCGUGGGUGACCUACCAUAAGUGGGGGACAACAGUUGGAAACGACUGCUAAUACCGCAUAAGCUGAGAAAUCAGUAAAGGAGGCCUCUGAAUAUGCUUCCGCUUAUGGAUGGGCCCGCGUCUGAUUAGCUAGUUGGUGGGGUAAAGGCCUACCAAGGCGACGAUCAGUAGCCGGCCUGAGAGGGUGAACGGCCACACUGGGACUGAGACACGGCCCAGACUCCUACGGGAGGCAGCAGUGGGGAAUAUUGCGCAAUGGGGGAAACCCUGACGCAGCGACGCCGCGUGAGCGAAGAAGGCCUUAGGGUCGUAAAGCUCUGUUUUAAGGGACGAAUGUCACGGGCAGUAAUAUGGUCUGUGAAUGACGGUACCUUAAGAGGAAGCCCCGGCUAACUACGUG
rnacentral:rRNA from 1 species